rnacentral:rRNA from 1 species
AGUCCUACGGGACGCAGCAGUGGGGGAUAUUGCACAGUGGGGGGAACCCUGAUGCAGCGACGCCGCGUGGGUGAAGAAGCGCCUCGGCGCGUAAAGCCCUGUCAGCAGGGAAGAAAAUGACGGUACCUGAAGAAAAAGCAUCGGCUAACUCCGUGCCAGCAGCCGCGGUAAUACGGAGGAUGCGAGCGUUAUCCGGAUUUAUUGGGUUUAAAGGGUGCGUAGGCGGUCCGUUAAGUCAGCGGUAAAAUUGCGGGGCUCAACCCUGUCGAGCCGUUGAAACUGGCAGACUUGAGUUG